CGGGUGAGUAACGCGUGAGAAACCUGCCUUUCAGUGGGGGACAACAGUUUGGAAACGACUGCUAAUACCGCAUAUGCUCACAGUACCACAUGGUACAGUGAGGAAAGGAGUAAUCCGCUGAUAGAUGGGCUUGCGCCUGAUUAGCUAGUUGGUGGGGGUAACGGCCCACCAAGGCGACGAUCAGUAGCCGGUCUGAGAGGAUGAACGGCCACAUUGGGACUGAGAUACGGCCCAGACUCCUACGGGAGGCAGCAGUGGGGGAUAUUGCGCAAUGGGGGAAACCCUGACCCAGCAACGCCGCGUGAAGGAAGAAGGCUUUCGGGUUGUAAACUUCUUUUACCAGGGACGAAGACGUGACGGUACCUGGAGAAAAAGCCACGGCUAACUACGUG
rnacentral:rRNA from 1 species